rnacentral:rRNA from 1 species
CACGUAGGGCGCAAGCGUUGUCCGGAAUUAUUGGGCGUAAAGAGCUCGUAGGCGGUCUGUUGCGUCCGCUGUGAAAACUCGGGGCUUAACCCCGAGCCUGCAGUGGAUACGGGCAGACUAGAGGUAGGUAGGGGAGAAUGGAAUUCCCGGUGUAGCGGUGAAAUGCGCAGAUAUCGGGAGGAACACCGGUGGCGAAGGCGGCGACCUGGUCCGUGACUGACGCUGAGGAGCGAAAGCGUGGGGAGCGAACAGG